rnacentral:misc_RNA from 1 species
GAUGAAGGAACGCAGCGAAAUGCGAUACGUAGUGUGAAUUGCAGAAUUCAGUGAAUCAUCGAAUCUUUGAACGCACAUUGCGCCCUUUGGUAUUCCAAAGGGCAUGCCUGUUCGAGCGUCAUUUGUACCCUCAAGCUUUGCUUGGUGUUGGGCGUCUUGUCUCCAGUCCGCUGGAGACUCGCCUUAAAGUCAUUGGCAGCCGGCCUACUGGUUUCGGAGCGCAGCACAAGUCGCACUCUUUUCCAGCCAAGGUCAGUGUCCAACAAGCCUUUUUUCAACUUUUGACCUCGGAUCAGGUAGGGAUACCCGCUGAACUUAAGCAUAUCAAUAAGCGGAGGA